AAUUGCUUCAAAUAGUUUUGGUCCAUGCAUUUUAACCUAUUUUUUCUGUAUAUAUAACAACAACGAAAACCUGAUUUGGGGGAAUUUUUGGACGAAGAAUUUCAACCCUACUUUUUCUACUCUGUAAAUAAACCCUUGCACGUAUAUUUUACAAACACCAAUUUUCUUCAAACUAACCCUUAUACUAUAUACACUUUUUCACUGGAAUUUUUCUUACAUACCAUUCACGAAUUCACCCUUAUCAGUCCACUCACAAUUUUCACUACCACUAAAACAACCAAGAACACAUCAUGUAAUAUGAACCUUUACAACAGAAUCCAGAUCAUUCUUUUCAGAAUAAACUUUACCAAGAACAUCACAACAACACCAUAAUCUCACCAACAUCACAAGAUUCAAAGCCUGACACAUAACGUAACAACGUGUCCGUCCUCAAAACGAUUCCGAUCCGUGAACACUCGAAGCAUCGCACAAGCAACAACAACGCGGCGCCACCCCAAAUUUAAAUUGCAAUCGCAAAAAUACAAGAGCAACAAUAACCCAUUCACAAGGAGUAGGAUGUUGGAGAUCUGAACCAGAACUUCCUCGAGCUCGUCGACGAACCAGAGCCGCUGUUCAGCCACACAAUCGCAACAACCAAUCUCGCAGCGCCGAUCAAAGAUUCAACUUGAACCUACACUUACAACAACAAUUCUUAACGGUUCUAACAACGUCAUCAGAAUCUACAACCAUGCUCCACAAAUCACCCUUCAGCUUCAAAUCAACAGCGACAUCUUCAUCACCUCAAUCCUCGCACACACACCGCGAGCAACAACAACGCGACGCCAUCCCAAAUUCAAAUCGACUUGAACUUUUAUUGUUGUUGUUUUCAUCGAGCGAGAGAGAUAGAUUUAGCAGAGAGACAAGAUGAAGAACCUGUACAGACAAGUAACAAAAAACUUCGACGAAGACCGAAACACAGGGAUCACCGUUCGAAUUCCCCGUCGACUACCCUCCGGAUUUGAAGCACCGACAGAUCCACCGGACGUCCACCGUGACAACUCCACGCACCACCAUAAUCUGCAGAUCCAGUAACUAAUGUCGGCGAAGCUUAAUCCAUGGUACAUCCGAGCUGUUCAUCUAUUCUUGCAAAUAUUCGUAAAUUCAUCCUCAAUCUCCUACCAUCCAAAUCUAACGCACACAAAGCUGAUGGUUUAGCAUGCACCCUCAAAGGCUGCCACAAUGAACCAAAGCUAAGUCCUGACUCUAUACUUAUUUAAAUAUUUGUUAUUUUGCCUCUUUUAUUUAAAAUUAUGGUUUUAUCUUCAAUGUCAAUGAACUGGUCAUACACUCACACUUUUUUCUGCCUUUGUUUUGCCAUAUAUUUUCAGGGUCGACCCCGAGGCUUCCUCCGACUGUCAACCAUAUCAGAUCAAAUGCAAAAAGCUAAGUAUCUUUCAUUUAUUUACUCCUUUCAAUUUGUUGUCUCGACCUUCUUAUUUUAGGGUUAGAGAUGUUCGCCUCUGAAUUAGCCAUACACUCACCCUAUUUUUAUUUUGUUUGCCUUUUCAGGGUUCGAUGAUUGCCAAAGCUACGAAUGUUUGGUAACCUUAAACCCUGACUUUAAUACUUUUCUGUUUAAUUAUUACUUAUGUCAAACCAAAGGGAUCCGCUGGUUACAAUUUCCCUCCCCCAUAAUACUGUUUCUUGCUUUAUAUACUGCGUGGUUAGUAAUUUAGGGAGUGCAAAUUUAAACUGGAUUAGAGUCACUAAUUACAAGAUAAAUAACUGAAUUGAACCACGUGAUUGUUGCACACACGCUCCCUUUUGGGGUAACCUCUCUGUUGCCUGUUGCCUGUUGCCUUGUUGCCUUGUAUUUUGUGCAGAAUAGCCAGUCCCUCGAAUACGAGGAUACCUCAGCCAUGCUGCCUCGAUAAUUAAAGGUCAUACGACCCUAAAUGAUGCUGCCUUCGAUACACAAAUAUGACCUCGACCCUCGGAAGUUGCCUACGGAAAAAGGCUGAGGUAUCUUCUGGUUGCCUAACGAAAAAUGGCUUAUUCUGAUCCUUGCCUUAGACUACCUGCCCUUCUAUGGCAUGGGACAGUCUUAUGGCAAAGGAUGCUUCGACGACCCUUCAACCUCCAAACGAAAGGCUUCCUGCCCUCUUAUGGCAAGGAUAGACCCUUUCAUUCUGAAAGGCUAAAAAGAGACCUAUCAUCUGAGUUGAAGGUAAUUGCCCCUAAUUGCCUUGCAAUGCUCAUCUUUAAUAUUCUUUCUCACAAUUCUUCAAAAAACUGGCUACGCUCAUUUACGAGCUAAAGUCCACUUUUUUUUCUUUCAUCUACUUUUUCUAAAGACAAACGAGCAAGCAAAGCAAUUAAGAGCCCAUGGAAAACCAUGGAUGCAAAGGGUGCCUUACACCUUCCCUUUGCAUAAAUUACCCCCCGAACUUAGAUUUCUUUAAAAGGUUUUUUUCUGUUUCUUUUAGCCUUUCUGAAUUUGUUUGGAUAAAAUAAAAGUCGGUGGCGACUCAUGCUUAACCGCGACAUUUU